rnacentral:sRNA from 1 species
GCUGGGCAUAGUGAUGCUUGCCUGUAAUCCCAGCUACUUGGGAGGCUGAGGCAAGGGGAUCACAAGUUUGAGGCCAGCCUCAGCAACUUAGCAAGACCCUGAGCAACUUAUUGAGAACUUGUCUCAA